CAUAACGACUCUCGGCAACGGAUAUCUCGGCUCUCGCAUCGAUGAAGAACGUAGCAAAAUGCGAUACCUGGUGUGAAUUGCAGAAUCCCGCGAACCAUCGAGUUUUUGAACGCAAGUUGCGCCCGAGGCCUUCUGGCCGAGGGCACGUCUGCCUGGGCGUCACGC
rnacentral:rRNA from 1 species